AUUGAACGCUGGCGGCAGGCCUAACACAUGCAAGUCGAACGGUAACAGGACGCAGCUUGCUGCUUUGCUGACGAGUGGCGGACGGGUGAGUAAUGUCUGGGAAACUGCCUGAUGGAGGGGGAUAACUACUGGAAACGGUAGCUAAUACCGCAUAACGUCGCAAGACCAAAGAGGGGGACCUUCGGGCCUCUUGCCAUCGGAUGUGCCCAGAUGGGAUUAGCUAGUAGGUGGGGUAACGGCUCACCUAGGCGACGAUCCCUAGCUGGUCUGAGAGGAUGACCGGCGACACUGGAACUGAGACACGGUCCAGACUCCGACGGGAGGCAGCAGUGGGGAAUAUUGCACGAUGGGCGCAAGCCUGAUGCAGCCAUGCCGCGUGUAUGAAGAAGGCCUUCGGGUUGUAAAGUACUUUCAGCGGUGAGGAAGGGAGUAAAGUUAAGACCUGUGCGCAUUGACGUUACCCGCAGAAGAAGCACCGGCUAACUCCGUG
rnacentral:rRNA from 1 species